AAGAUAUCACAUGCUUUAGGAAGAAGUCUUCCCUCUUGGCUGAUUCUCCCUUAAAGAAAUUUUUUUCCUUUUCCUUGCUCACAUCAUUCCCUCUCUCUUCAAAAACGAUUCGUCCUCAAAACGAACACUUUUUAUGUUGGAGUUUCACCAAUUCUAUUUUCUUUGAGAAAAUGUCAUUGACUGAAAUGUUGUAUAAGGUUAUUGCAAAAAUUUGCAAUGAAUGGUUAGUAAAAAAAUAACACUCUCUCACGUAUUUCACUCCUUAUGUUUUACUCAACCUCCUUCCUUCAAGUUGAAUAUGAAAAUUAAAUUUUCUUAAAUCAAGUUUUGUUUAUAACACUUUAAGGAAUCCUACGAAAAAAAAGUUGUAAAACAAUUCUAAAAGUAACAGUUCAAACAUACGGAUUAAGAUAGUGUGUGUUUUAUGUAUGAUAUUAAGUAAUUAGAGUGCAAUUAGUUACUUAGAGAUAUAAUGGAACAAAAGUACAAUGAAAAAAAAAAACUUAGAACGCAAGAAAUGCAGUAUGAAUAUGAUAUUUUUUUGUUUUUUUUUUUAUACGCAAAAAAUGAUGCAAGAUAUAUAUAUUUUUUUAAAUGUGAUGAAUAAAAAAAAUAUGUAAGGAUAAAAGAUGUCGGAUAGCAAGAUUUAUCUUGAACCUAAGUUCUUAUACCAAAUGAUGCGGAACCCAGAAUUAACUAACGUGAUCAAAAAUUCCGCAUGUAACAUUAAUAUUCAGAAUCAUAAGACCCUCAACAAACCCUUCCUACUUGACCUACAUUCAACAUGUGAAUGUCAACUAAGGUAAUUGAGAUAAUUUGAAUUGAUUAAAAAUGCUACAAGCAUAAACUUAAUAAGUUAAAAAUUAAUUCGAAAAAAAAUUGAUAAAACGCCACAAGAACUUACCUUGAUAAGUUAAAUCAAUUCCCACUCAACAAGAAGGUUCACGAAACCUAACUACUUUAAAACUAAAAUUUCAUAAUUUUAUUAUUUUCAAACUUGAAUUAUUACAAUUGUGAAUUGAAAACCUACUUAUAGAGUAAGCUAUAUGCAUUACAAGAAAAUAAAUAGUUUAAAUUAAUGGUAAAAAAUUAAAUCUUGUCUUGAAUAAGAACAUAAAGAAAAUUAAAAAGAUUUUGAAUAGAAUAUGCUAGAUAGGAUAUUCUCUUUUUAAAUGAGAAUAUUUUGAUUAAUUGUGGAGAAAUUAGGGUAAGUAAAUAUGGUUAAUUAAGAAUGGCCAUUAAAAGAGUAAAGAAACCACCCAUAUCUUUCCUAAACCAUGAGGAUUAGUUAUUUAAGAAAUGAAAUUUGAUUUCCUCUUCCUUUAAGAUAUCACAUGGUUUAGGAAAUCUUCCUUUUUGAUUGAUUCUCCCUAUAAAGAAAUUCUUUUCCCUUUCCUUGCUCACAUCAAAAAGAGAAUACUUUAAAAUUUUGCAACAAAACACACGAUAAACAUAACAGAUUAGGACCAUCUCCUUGUAAUGCUAAGUUACGUACUCAAAUAAUAACAUUACUCCAUCUUCUAAUUGGCAAUUAUCCUAGAUGAAAAAAGUUGAAACUACUGUUCCUAGAAUCUUAAAUUUCCUAUGGUGGCGCAACCUCCAAUUGUGAUUCAAAACCUGUUGAUAGAAAAGCUUCUUAUUAAAAUGAGUUUCUUACAACAGUGACCCGGUGUAAACUUUUCAUCACAAUCAAAACAAAGACCCUUUAGUUGCCAUUCAUAAAGUUCCAUAUGGCCGAGGCAUUUAAUCAUAUUUGCGAGUAAGGGAGUCACAGGACCCUCCCCUUCUAGUGGUAGAAGACUCAGAUCAAUGUGAAUGAACCUGGCUGGGAUUAAUUUGAAGUCAAUUUGUUAGAUAUUCAUACCAAGCUAUCGAAAG
rnacentral:lncRNA from 1 species